GAUGAACGCUGGCGGCGUGCCUAAUACAUGCAAGUCGAGCGAAUGGAUUAAGAGCUUGCUCUUAUGAAGUUAGCGGCGGACGGGUGAGUAACACGUGGGUAACCUGCCCAUAAGACUGGGAUAACUCCGGGAAACCGGGGCUAAUACCGGAUAACAUUUUGAACCGCAUGGUUCGAAAUUGAAAGGCGGCUUCGGCUGUCACUUAGGGAUGGACCCGCGUCGCAUUAGCUUGUUGGUGAGGCAACGGCUCACCAAGGCAACGAUGCGUAGUCGACCUGAGAGGGUGAUCGGCCACACUUGGACUGAGACACGGCCCAGACUCCUACGGGAGGCAGCAGUAGGGAAUCUUCCGCAAUGGACGAAAGUCUGACGGAGCAACGCCGCGUGAGUGAUGAAGGCUUUCGGGUCGUAAAACUCUGUUGUUAGGGAAGAACAAGUGCUAGUUGAAUAAGCUGGCACCUUGACGGUACCUAACCAGAAAGCCACGGCUAACUACGUGCCAGCCGCCGCCGUAA
rnacentral:rRNA from 1 species